rnacentral:lncRNA from 1 species
CGUGGGUUUCACCAAAGUGGUAAACGUCUGAGACCUGCAUCACUUUGGGCUUUCCUCCCACAUUAAGCCGUGAUAUAUCUGGAAUAAUGUUAAAAACAGUGUUAAACCCAACUCACUCACUCUUACCUGGUGUUUGUUAGUGAUCACACCAUUACAAAGUAUUUGACAUCUGUCCUGACAAAUACAGGGAAGUAUUUUGUUAGGUUCCCUUCUACUUUACAUCCUCCAAUUCCUGACUGACGCAGCAUCUUCAGCAGCAGCAGUGGCUACAGCAUCCUCAUCACUGUGAUACACGGCCGACCAGCUGAAACAGCUGCCUGCCUCUGGCAGCAACAUUCCUGUAUAUAAAGACUAUUUAUUUUUUAUAACACAUACACAUUUUACCUGAAUAAUUGUAACGUUAGUUUUGUACUAAAUGAAUUUUAUGCAUCCUGUACAUAUAUGAGUGAGCAUGUCAGUGAUCUGUAGGAUUUAAUUUCAAAUUGUGCAUUUAUUGUCUCAGUCUCUGACAUUAUGCAGUCCCUAUGCUAUGCUACAUUCCGGUAGCUAGAUGGAGUGAUGGAGUGUUAACUUGAUAAUAAUCCAACAAUGAUAGAGAUUUGUUAAUAAGUAUUAAGUUUUUACCUUUGCCUGACACAUGAUGGCUCAGUGUAACUGAUAAUCACUGAUAGUAGUACAUUGUUGAGAAUGAGAGGAUAUUUACUGUCUGCCAGGCUGUGAGACUGCUUAGCCAAAUGCUGCACUCCAUGACAUGAACAAGUUACAUAAGUAUACAGAGUCUCAAGUUUUAGGCCACCCAGCCUUCACCACACAAGUAACUUUGGUUUGGAAUAAUGUCUUGAGUUACAGAUUGUAUAUAUAACCUCCCCUGGCAGAAUGCUGUCUGGAUAUGAAUAAAAGGGAUCUGCUUUUGUAAUGACCAUUACUUACACAAUAUUCACGUAGCAAUGUCUGUGAUACUCACUGAUCUUAUACACUGACCUGGUUCAUCCGUCCAAUAUGAGAGUCUUACAACUCACCACCUAGGUCCAGCAUGGCCUCGAAAUGAUGGCCUUCCACACACUCAAAGACCUGGGACCAACAUGGCCUCGAAAUGAUGGCCUUCCACACGCUCACAGACCUGGGACCAACAUGGCCUCAAAAUGAUGGCCUUCCACACGCUCACAGACCUGGGACCAGCAUGGCCACGAAAUGAUGGCCUUCCACACACUCAAAGACCUAGGUCCAGUAUGGCCAAUAGUGACUUACACACACUCACAGACCUAGGUCCAGCAUUGCCGAUAGUGGCUUACACACACUCACAGACCUAGGUCCAGCAUUGCCAAUAGUGGGAUACACAUGUCCAAUAGUGACUAACACACACUCACAGACCUAGGUCCAGCAUGGCCAAUUGUGACUUACACACACUUACAGACCUAGGUCCAGCAUGUCCAAUAGUGACUUACACACACUCACAGACCUAGGUCCAGCAUGGCCAAUAGUGACUUACACACACUCACAGACCUAGGUCCAGUAUGUCCAAUAGUGACUUACACACACUCACAGACCUAGGUCCAGCAUUGCCAAUAGUGGGAUACGCAUGUCCAAUAAUGACUAACACACACUCACAGACCUAGGUCCAGCAUGGCCAAUAGUGACUUACACACACUCACAGACCUAGGUCCAGCAUGUCCAAUAGUGACUUACACACACUCACAGACCUAGGUCUAGCAUGGCCAAUAGUGACUUACACACACUCACAGACCUAGGUCCAGUAUGUCCAAUAGUGACUUACACACACUCACAGACCUAGGUCCAGCAUGUCCAAUAGUGACUUACACACACUCACAGACCUAGGUCUAGCAUGGCCAAUAAUGACUUACACACACUCACAGACCUAGGUCCAGCAUGGCCAAUAGUGACUUACACACACUCACAGACCUAGGUCCAGCAUGUCCAAUAGUGACUUACACACACUCACAGACCUAGGUCCAGUAUGUCCAAUAGUGGCAUACACACACUCACAGACCUAGGUCCAGUAUGUCCAAUAGUGACUUACACACACUCACAGACCUAGGUCCAGCAUGUCCAAUAGUGACUUACACACACUCACAGACCUAGGUCUAGCAUGGCCAAUAAUGACUUACACACACUCACAGACCUAGGUCCAGUAUGGCCAAUAGUGACUUACACACACUCACAGACCUAGGUCCAGUAUGUCCAAUAGUGGCAUACACACACUCACAGACCUAGGUCCAGUAUGUCCAAUAGUGGCAUACACACACUCACAGACCUAGGUCCAGCAUGUCCAAUAGUGGCAUACACACACUCACAGACCUAGGUCCAGUAUGGCAAAUAGUGGCUUACACACACUCACAGACCUAGGUCCAGCAUGACGGAUGUGUAGUGGACAUUUACAGAUCCAAGAUCCGUGGUCCAAUAUGGCCAUUAUGAGAGUCCUGCUGACGAUGUCUCAUCAGGGUACAUACUGACACCAGGUGUUUGAUGUAGGUGUUCACAUUACAUGUCUGUGUGUCCUUCAUUGUUUGGGAGUAAACUUGUUUCUCAGUUUGAUUGUUUUUCAUGUAUGCCAAAUGAGACCUGCACUUGUUUGUUUAUGCAAAAUGUUUAAAACAGUAUGAAAUUUGUGAUGUUGCGGUUGAUUAUGAAAAUGUUCAAGUUUCAAUUUUGCAGAGAUGUGUUUUGUUUUUGCCAUGAGAUUAAACAAUACGCAACCGGAGAGAAGCUGGGUGCUGAUAUCUUGACAACAGAUGAUAAUCAUAGUCAGUGUGUUGCAAAUGGUAGUCAUAAUGCAUUAUUGACCAAGGUUGUUUGGCUCCCUCAAAGUCACGGCAAUAACAUGGAAAGAUAGUUUGUUUCAAUGUUUCCUCGGACAAGUUGUACAGGGUCUCCCUACCAUGUUUAGUCACGUCCUUGUCAGCCAGUCCUUAUGUACUGUUUAUGUAAUAGGUUAGUUUCAUGAAAUGUCAUAUUUCAGUGUUGCGUAGGUGAAGAAGACUACUGUCAAGGCUGGAGCCGUCCGGGAACAAGACACAGUCCCAUCAGCUGCACAUUAGCCAACUCUUCAUUCAGUGUUAUCACAUAAUCAUAACUUCGUAGAUUUGGUACUAAUUUGUGAGAGUAGAAGUACCGGUAUGUAUCUUGUCUUGUGUGAGUUCUUAUCUCAGGACAGUAGCACAUGCAGCUCUAGGUAUUGGUGAGAGAAUCAAUCUCUGAAAACGACUGGUUGCUUCUUGCUGUUUCUUGACAGUUGAUGGCGUAUUUCCCGUUGUUUAUAUGGUUUUAUGAUGACUUUGGUGUGACGGUCAUCCUAUGAAUGGCUGGUCAAGGCAGUAAGUCACUGACCCAGGGGCUGGACAUUUGUUGACAGAGUCUGCUGCUGGAGGGAUGUAUUGCUGUUUAUUGACCUUGACGUCCAUGCUACACACGCCUACAUGUGUGGCCACACCUAACCCUCACUAUGCAAUGGAUAUUUGGUUCAUGUCGCUCUGAUCAGUCCAAGGCUAAUAUCAAUAUUUUUAUCUGAUAAUGCAUUUAAACAAAACUUUUAUUAUCAAUCUAUAUAGAUAUGUAAUAUGAUAGAACAGAACAGAUCUGAGUUAACUGAUGAGUUUUAGGAAGUGUUUAGGCUAGGAGUUAGGAGCUUGAUUUGGGGAUUUUGUUUUUGUUUUAGGAACUUGUGUACUGGUAAUCCAAAUAAACAUGUCAGGAUGCCAAGGAAUUUGACUUUUCUAUACAAGCAUCAUCACAGAUGUGAAGCUGUCAGGUGUAAAUUAGCUGCCGUAUCUUGUCUUUCACUGUGUAGUCACUUGUUUUCAUUAUGGAGUGAAACUCAUGCUGUUUGUAAAGACAGUAUCAGCUCUGUCAAAACUGAAUAAAACUGAUAAAUCUAAA